CCUCCAGGAUAAUUGAUCUUCAUACAACAGUAUAAGCAUUGGUCAACAUUUUUCUAAGCAGGAGUGUGUAUACUUAGUACUAUCCUAACCGGCAAAAACUGGUUUCAACAACGUCAUUCUUUUGUAUUUUAUAACAUCAUGAUAAGAACAAAAAGUCAGCAGAAAUGCCCACAGUCUUCAAGCUAGCCAGACCGCCCAGCCAGCCCGAGCCACCUACAUGCCCGACCCCCACCAGUCUAGUCAAUAACUCAACUCUCUCCCCAACACAACUUCCUUCUCAUCUUUUUUUUAAUGUCUCCAAGAGAAAGGUUUGGAAAACAAAAGUUUAAUGAAAACA